rnacentral:rRNA from 1 species
CAAUAGCGUAUAUUAAAGUUGUUGCAGUUAGAACGCUCGUAGUCGGAUUUCGGGGCGGGUCGACCGGUCUGCCGAUGGGUACGCACUGGCCGACGCGUCCUUCCUUCCGGAGACCGUCCCUACUCUUAACUGAGCGGGGGCGGGAGACGGAACGUUUACUUUGAAAAAAUCAGAGUGUUUCGAGCAGGCAUCUCGCUCUUGCAUGGAUUAGCAUGGGAUAAUGAAAUAGGACUUUGGUGCUAUUUUGUUGGUUUCGAACACCGAAGUAAUGAUGAGAAGGGACAGUCAGGGGCACUCGUAUUCCGCCGAGAGAGGUGAAAUUCUCAGACCAGCGGAAGACGAACCACUGCGAAAGCAUUUGCCAGGGAUGUUUUCACUGA